UGUAGUAGGUCCCAAGGGUUGGGCUGUUCGCCCAUUAAAGUGGUACGCGAGCUGGGUUCAGAACGUCGUGAGACAGUUCGGUCCCUAUCCGUCGCAGGCGUAGGAAAUUUGAGAAGACCUGUCCUUAGUACGAGAGGACCGGGAUGGACGUACCUCUGGUGUACCAGUUGUUCUGCCAAGGGCAUGGCUGGGUAGCUAUGUACGGAAUGGAUAAGCGCUGAAAGCAUCUAAGCGCGAAGCCAACUUCAAGAUAAGAUUUCCCACCGCAAGGGUAAGACCCCAGAAAGACUAUCUGGUUGAUAGGUCGAAGGUGUAAGUGCAGCAAUGUAUUUAGCUUAUCGAUACUAAUAGGUCGAGGACUUGACCAAU
rnacentral:rRNA from 1 species